rnacentral:rRNA from 1 species
GCUAGCGACAGGCUUAACACAUGCAAGUCGAGGGUUAGCAUGAUUUGUAGCAAUACAGAUUGAUGGCGACCGGCGCACGGGUGAGUAACGCGUAUGCAACUUACCUAUCAGAGGGGGAUAGCCCGGCGAAAGUCGGAUUAAUACCCCAUAAAACAGGGGUCCCGCAUGGGAAUAUUUGUUAAAGAUUCAUCGCUGAUAGAUAGGCAUGCGUUCCAUUAGGCAGUUGGCGGGGUAACGGCCCACCAAACCGACGAUGGAUAGGGGUUCUGAGAGGAAGGUCCCCCACAUUGGUACUGAGACACGGACCAAACUCCUACGGGAGGCAGCAGUGAGGAAUAUUGGUCAAUGGCCGAGAGGCUGAACCAGCCAAGUCGCGUGAAGGAAGAAGGAUCUAUGGUUUGUAAACUUCUUUUAUAGGGGAAUAAAGUGGAGGACGUGUCCUUUUUUGUAUGUACCCUAUGAAUAAGCAUCGGCUAACUCCGUGCCAGCAGCCGCGGUAAUACGGAGGAUGCGAGCGUUAUCCGGAUUUAUUGGGUUUAAAGGGUGCGUAGGUGGUGAUUUAAGUCAGCGGUGAAAGUUUGUGGCUCAACCAUAAAAUUGCCGUUGAAACUGGGUUACUUGAGUGUGUUUGAGGUAGGCGGAAUGCGUGGUGUAGCGGUGAAAUGCAUAGAUAUCACGCAGAACUCCGAUUGCGAAGGCAGCUUACUAAACCAUAACUGACACUGAAGCACGAAAGCGUGGGGGAUCAAACAGGAUUAGAUUACCCUGGUAGUCCACGCAGUAAACGAUGAUUACUAGGAGUUUGCGAUACAAUGUAAGCUCUACAGCGAAAGCGUUAAGUAAUCCACCUGGGGAGUACGCCGGCAACGGUGAAACUCAAAGGAAUUGACGGGGGCCCGCACAAGCGGAGGAACAUGUGGUUUAAUUCGAUGAUACGCGAGGAACCUUACCCGGGUUUGAACGUAGUCUGACCGGAGUGGAAACACUCUUUCUAGCAAUAGCAGAUUACGAGGUGCUGCAUGGUUGUCGUCAGCUCGUGCCGUGAGGUGUCGGCUUAAGUGCCAUAACGAGCGCAACCCUUAUCACUAGUUACUAACAGGUGAGGCUGAGGACUCUGGUGAGACUGCCAGCGUAAGCUGUGAGGAAGGUGGGGAUGACGUCAAAUCAGCACGGCCCUUACAUCCGGGGCGACACACGUGUUACAAUGGCAUGGACAAAGGGCAGCUACCUGGUGACAGGAUGCUAAUCUCCAAACCAUGUCUCAGUUCGGAUCGGAGUCUGCAACUCGACUCCGUGAAGCUGGAUUCGCUAGUAAUCGCGCAUCAGCCAUGGCGCGGUGAAUACGUUCCCGGGCCUUGUACACACCGCCCGUCAAGCCAUGGGAGCCGGGGGUACCUGAAGUCCGUAACCGCAAGGAUCGGCCUAGGGUAAAACUGGU